rnacentral:lncRNA from 1 species
GGAAGGCUCAUAAACAGAUAUUCAAGUUUGUUUCGAUUAUCUCGAGGGAUAAAAAAGCUUGCAAUAAUAAUAUGCAACAUUACGAUCAAUUUUAAGAGCAUUUUUCUUAAAGAGUUACAAGAACCAAAUUUCCAAGUUGAUUGUUUUCCUCGCAAAAAACUUCACCAACUCUACUUCAUGCUCCUCAAACUUGUACCCUAAUAUCUUGUUAAACUUAAUCUUGUAUGGAUCAGGAACAAACAUGUCAAGUUCGUUCUUAUAAUGAAGCUCUUAGUGAGAUGUGUGAAGGAAAUUGAAGCCAUUCAGCUGUAGUAAU